GCCCUCUUUGACACAUUCAUCAUACUUCUCCAAAGCAGAAACUAUGUAACUGAAGUCUGGUCGUUUAGAUGGGUUUGCUGCCCAGCAACGCUUUAUCAAGUGUGCAAGUGCGGGCUGACAACUUGCUGGCAAUGGAGGCCGCUCAUUCUUCUCAGCCACAGCAAAUGCAGCCUGUACAGGGGUGAUUCCUUGAAAGGGAAGCAAAGCUGUAGUGAGCUCCCAUAACACAAUCCCAAAGCUAUAAACAUCAACUUUUCGAGUAUAUGGUUUUUCCUUGAUCAUCUCAGGCGCCAUCCAGCGGUAAGUUCCCUUGUUUCCUUUGGUUUCUCGGCACUGUGUUUCUAGACAAGAUGUACCAAAAUCUGCUACCUUAACCC
rnacentral:misc_RNA from 1 species